rnacentral:rRNA from 1 species
UAGAGUUUGAUCCUGGCUCAGAUUGAACGCUGGCGGCAUGCCUUACACAUGCAAGUCGGACGGCAGCGCGGGCUUCGGCCUGGCGGCGAGUGGCGAACGGGUGAGUAAUACAUCGGAACGUGUCCUGGAGUGGGGGAUAGCCCGGCGAAAGCCGGAUUAAUACCGCAUACGCUCUGCGGAGGAAAGCGGGGGACCUUCGGGCCUCGCGCUCAAGGGGCGGCCGAUGGCAGAUUAGCUAGUUGGUGGGGUAAAGGCCUACCAAGGCGACGAUCUGUAGCUGGUCUGAGAGGACGACCAGCCACACUGGGACUGAGACACGGCCCAGACUCCUACGGGAGGCAGCAGUGGGGAAUUUUGGACAAUGGGGGCAACCCUGAUCCAGCAAUGCCGCGUGUGUGAAGAAGGCCUUCGGGUUGUAAAGCACUUUUGUCCGGAAAGAAAGCGUCCUGGCUAAUACCCGGGGCGGAUGACGGUACCGGAAGAAUAAGCACCGGCUAACUACGUGCCAGCAGCCGCGGUAAUACGUAGGGUGCGAGCGUUAAUCGGAAUUACUGGGCGUAAAGCGUGCGCAGGCGGUUCGCUAAGACCGAUGUGAAAUCCCCGGGCUUAACCUGGGAACUGCAUUGGUGACUGGCGGGCUAGAGUAUGGCAGAGGGAGGUAGAAUUCCACGUGUAGCAGUGAAAUGCGUAGAGAUGUGGAGGAAUACCGAUGGCGAAGGCAGCCUCCUGGGCCAAUACUGAC